GACGAACGCUGGCGGCGUGCUUAACACAUGCAAGUCGAACGGAAAGGCCCUGCUUUUGUGGGGAGCUCGAGUGGCGAACGGGUGAGUAACACGUGAGUAACCUGCCCUUGACUUUGGGAUAACUUCAGGAAACUGGGGCUAAUACCGGAUAGGAGCUCCUGCUGCAUGGUGGGGGUUGGAAAGUUUCGGCGGUUGGGGAUGGACUCGCGGCUUAUCAGCUUGUUGGUGGGGUAGUGGCUUACCAAGGCUUUGACGGGUAGCCGGCCUGAGAGGGUGACCGGCCACAUGGGGACUGAGAUACGCCCCAGCCUCAGAGGGGGGACAGGGGGGGGAAUUUUGAACCAGGGGGGGCGGGCUUGGGGCGGAGGCCCCGGGGGGGGAAUGACGGCUUUGGGGUGAGAAACGGCUUUCGCUUGAGACGAGGCGGGUGGGAGGGUAAUGAAAAAAGAAGCACCGGCUAACUACGUG
rnacentral:rRNA from 1 species